GGAUGGGUGGCCGAGCGGUUGAAGGCACCGGUCUUGAAAACCGGCGAGGGUGAAAGCUCUCCGUGGGUUCGAAUCCCACCCCAUCCG
rnacentral:tRNA from 1 species